rnacentral:rRNA from 1 species
CUUAAUUGGGCGUUAAGUUGCAGGGUAUAGACCCGAAACCCGGUGAUCUAGCCAUGGGCAGGUUGAAGGUUGGGUAACACUAACUGGAGGACCGAACCGACUAAUGUUGAAAAAUUAGCGGAUGACCUGUGGCUGGGGGUGAAAGGCCAAUCAAACCGGGAGAUAGCUGGUUCUCCCCGAAAGCUAUUUAGGUAGCGCCUCGUGAAUUCAUCUCCGGGGGUAGAGCACUGUUUCGGCUAGGGGGCCAUCCCGGCUUACCAACCCGAUGCAAACUGCGAAUACCGGAGAAUGUUAUCACGGGAGACACACGGCGGGUGCUAACGUCCGUCGUGAAGAGGGAAACAACCCAGACCGCCAGCUAAGGUCCCAAAGUCAUGGUUAAGUGGGAAACGAUGUGGGAAGGCCCAGACAGCCAGGAUGUUGGCUUAGAAGCAGCCAUCAUUUAAAGAAAGCGUAAUAGCUCACUGGUCGAGUCGGCCUGCGCGGAAGAUGUAACGGGGCUAAACCAUGCACCGAAGCUGCGGCAGCGACGCUUAUGCGUUGUUGGGUAGGGGAGCGUUCUGUAAGCCUGUGAAGGUGUGUCGUGAGGCAUGCUGGAGGUAUCAGAAGUGCGAAUGCUGACAUAAGUAACGAUAAAGCGGGUGAAAAGCCCGCUCGCCGGAAGACCAAGGGUUCCUGUCCAACGUUAAUCGGGGCAGGGUGAGUCGACCCCUAAGGCGAGGCCGAAAGGCGUAGUCGAUGGGAAACGGGUUAAUAUUCCCGUACUUGGUGUUACUGCGAAGGGGGGACGGAGAAGGCUAUGUUGGCCGGGCGACGGUUGUCCCGGUUUAAGCGUGUAGGUGUGUGUUCCAGGUAAAUCCGGUUCACUUUAACACUGAGGCGUGAUGACGAGGCACUACGGUGCUGAAGUAACAAAUGCCCUGCUUCCAGGAAAAGCCUCUAAGCAUCAGGUAACAUCAAAUCGUACCCCAAACCGACACAGGUGGUCAGGUAGAGAAUACCAAGGCGCUUGAGAGAACUCGGGUGAAGGAACUAGGCAAAAUGGUGCCGUAACUUCGGGAGAAGGCACGCUGACACGUAGGUGAAGUGAUUUACUCAUGGAGCUGAAGUCAGUCGAAGAUACCAGCUGGCUGCAACUGUUUAUUAAAAACACAGCACUGUGCAAACACGAAAGUGGACGUAUACGGUGUGACGCCUGCCCGGUGCCGGAAGGUUAAUUGAUGGGGUCAGCGCAAGCGAAGCUCCUGAUCGAAGCCCCGGUAAACGGCGGCCGUAACUAUAACGGUCCUAAGGUAGCGAAAUUCCUUGUCGGGUAAGUUCCGACCUGCACGAAUGGCGUAAUGAUGGCCAGGCUGUCUCCACCCGAGACUCAGUGAAAUUGAACUCGCUGUGAAGAUGCAGUGUACCCGCGGCAAGACGGAAAGACCCCGUGAACCUUUACUAUAGCUUGACACUGAACAUUGAGCCUUGAUGUGUAGGAUAGGUGGGAGGCUUU